GGGAGAAAAAGAGAACGAAAACAUUGAACAUUAAACGCCACAAUCAAUAACAUCACAUUUGUGAGACUUUUAGCGGAAUGGUUGGCCGCCGCUAUCCAAUGCACCAGAUAAUUGAGUCCUCUGCUCGGAAAUCAGGACCGUUUUUUGGUGUUUGUUUUUUAGACACCGCCAACCGCGUUUACGCUUUUGCAAAUCGGCUUAAAUCAACAGUAUAAUUUAGCAUGAGCCUGAAAUGGUCUCAAAGCAGCAGACAAGCCAGGACGCCUUGCUUAUUGUUGUUUGAACACCAAUGUUUACUUGAAAAUCUUGUGACAACAUACUUUGUAGACACACAUUGAAGCUAGCACAUACUGAAUAGUACUGUACAUUCGUACGUACCAAAGUACCCACUUCAUGUACAGUAUACUCCUCCUACGGGGAGUAGAAAGAAUGGAUUAAUCAAUUGUAUAUUUGCGAUCAAUUGACUGUGAUUACAAUUGUGGGUUUGUGACCACAAGUGCCAUUACAACUGUACAUUUGGGAUCAGGAUCACAAUUGGAUGUUUUGGAUCAAUAGGCGGCUCAUUGUUAAGAAAUAAUCCAAACAGACUCUAACUUGUUCCCUUCUUACUUAUGCGACCUGAUAUGGGUUACCUCAGACGCCCCCGUGACCAAAUCAUCUUUCAGCCUAAGGUAAUUUUAAUGCUUCAUGAACAUGGAUUAAUGGUCCAUCUUUCUGUUCUGAGAGGCAGCAGACCUUGUUUUUUUUUCCAUCAAAGUCAUUUCGAGGUGGCUAAUGACACUCACGAUGCCACACCAGAGCUUGAGGGCUUCGGAUAGGUGGAUGCUUUGAGAACCCCUACCUCUAUCGUUAGCGUGUCCGUUAGACUCCUUCAAAGUUUAUUAGUUGAUUGAUUAUACACAGGUAAACUUGUCCUUUAUUCGUAACCGCAAUACCUGUAAAUUGACUGUUUCUCUGCAAACAUAUUUCCUUUCCCACUCCAUUAAGUGUUUGUCAGGCAUUUUUUUUCAAAGGGUGAAUAAUUUGACUGUAUUUUAGUUUCAUUGUAUUUACAUUUCUUUGGUGGUUGAAUUCAAAAUGUGAAAUCCGUUUAUUUAGUCCCAACAUAGUGUCAUUUUACUGGCCAUAUCAGGGGUGUCAAACAUACGGCCCGCGGGGCGGAACCGGCCCCCAAGGAGGUUCGAUCAGGCCCGCGGGAUAAUUUAAAAGUGAAAAAAUGGAUACAAGACACGGAAUGAAUACUUUAAAUUAGAUGCAUUUCAUGGAUUAUCCGCUCGGGGCAACACUGUUUUGAUCAGAGGAGAAGACAUUGUUUUGAUCAGAGAAGAAGACAACAGCAAUCUUGGUCUGUCACUGAGACACCCCAAAUAUAGCAGUAAAAGCCAGCUACCUAAUUGCUAGCCAAAUAGCAGUAGCAUCAAAGCUGUAUUCCGACCGUGACUUCGUUUAACAGAUGCAUGAUAACAGCGGCUCAACUUGUGUUUCCCGAGAAGCGACAAGCUUUUGCCAAGAUUAGCCUGAUGAGGAAUACUAUACUAGAGAGGAUUUCAGACCUAUCAGCAGAUUUAGACAGCCAAUUGAAACAGAGAGUUAAGUCAUUUUGUCAAAUAUUUGGUAAAAGAUACAGUAUGUUCAUUAAAUUUCAACAUUUUCCUAAUAUUCUUAUGCUUCUAUAUACCAAAACAAAGGAAAGACGUGAUAUUUUGGUUAUUUAUAGCAGAGUAUGGUCUAAUUUUAAUGGUCCGGCCCACUUGACAUCUGUGUGGCCCACAAUGUGAAAUGAGUUUGACACCCUUGGUCCAUACUGUGUAGUAUUUGUAUGUCCUUUAGGGGCAUGGCCUACUGAGUGACAUGGGGAGCUCGAAUCGGUUUGUCUGAGCACUUCCAGUAGCUCCUUGUGGGUGUUCUCAUUUUGUAUUUGUGUGUUUGACUUGUUGCUUCGUUCAAUGAACGGCUGAAAGUGCAUCGGUGACUGUGGCACUCCUGGCCCACAUUCCAGGCUUUGCAAAUCCUCAACUCAUUCACUGCCAUUGAUAAGUAAAGCUAAUGAUUUUCAAUUGGUAUUUGUGGAAGAGAGUCUGAUGCUGCUUCAUUGUAAAUUUUAAGUUGUGACACAACUCUACGAACACACAACCACCAGUAAAUGGCAGUGAUGCACCAUUUUAGGUCUGAGGGAAAAAAAUGCAGGUGAGGACUUCUGUAUUCUAUUGCCGCACCAUUUGCGUUCAAAUAGCCAUCGUUUAAUGUUGCGACACAGAAACACCAAUGCAAUGCUAACAUUUAUAAUGUUUUGCUUUGCUUGUUAGAAUUAAGCUAAGUGGAGCUUUGUGGUAGCUUGAAAAACUCACGGUGUAAUUCCUUUUUUUUAUUUUUUAUUUUUUUUAGUUUGAUGAUGGUUUUACGGUUGGAAGACUUGUGUGCAAAUGUGUUUUGGAAUAGAGCAACUGUGACAGCGUUGCUCUUGCGAGGAAGAGAUGCAGGGGUGUGCCGAACUUGCUUUCCAUGCAAAUUCAACACUGCGUCCUUAAUGUCGACCUUCUCUGCCGAUUGUCUGCCCAUUCCUCCGUCAACCCACUCCCAUCUUCCAUUUUCCGACGUGCCGUCCAAUUUGCGGGCCAAUUGGCACUGAUGCUAAUCUAUCCUGCUGCACUCAUUCUCGCACAGAACAGUGCUGAGAAAGAGACAAAGCAGCGGGGUCAGACGUAAUCUUUGCAAGAACCCCCCCUUCCCCCCAAAAAGCUUUUGUCGAGUGUUUCCCCUCCUGUGCACUCUUGCGUAUCUUUUUCUGCUCAUUAAAAUGUGUCACAAAAGGAGCCCUGUGUCGUCGGCAAAACGAACGGCAGUUGGAAAACGGGUAGAACAAUGGCGUUUAUGUUAGAGGUUGCCAGGGAUAGAAACAUAAUAGAAAAAGAGCAGAGUCAUAUGAGCACCAUAUUGAUGCGAUUCAUCACUCGGGGUCAGAAAGAAUGCGGCUGCUGUGCACGUGCGAGAGGCCCAUAUAUCAACCUCAGCGUCCCUAUAGCUGAAACAAGCCGGCCGACAGCGGUGGGCGAUCGCUUUGCUUCUAGCCCCUUGUGAUAACUGUUUGCACUGGAUGCCAAAGCUCGGGGAUGCUUGAGAGGCCCAGCGGCAAGGUUACGCUGUGAAUGGCUCACAGCAACCCGGGACGGACCAUCCAUACAAUCCUGGGAAUAAUUGGCUCAAUGAGAGUGUACAGAAUGUGAACGGGGGCAGGUCAUUCAUUUAUGAGGUUGAAAAAAAUGCUUCAUUGGCUUCAUGGAGUCAAUGAAACAGUAAAGAAAUUAUUCAAUUGAAUAAAACUCAUCAUUGAUUUUGUUUUUGUUCAGCAUAAUUGACAUAUUUAAAGAAUGAUUUCAUACAAUGAAAAUGCAUACCGGUACAUUAUUUGCUUCCUUUUAUAAAUUUGCUGCUGCAAAUUGGGAAUUUCUCCAUUGUGGGACGAAUAAAGGCGUUCUUAUUCUUAUUCUUAAAAACUAGAAAAUGAGUUCUCAGUUAUGAUUACACCGAACUGGUAUUCGCUGCAAGGCUCCAUCCCCUGUGAAUAGUGAACAAGUGCAAGCAACUGAUGCCCCUCUAAAAAUGCCUAUAUUAAAAAAAGGCCUAUAUUCAUAGUUUGUGUAGGUGUACCACAAACUAUGAUCCCGAAAUAUAUAAUCACUACCCUCUAAAUCAGGGGUGUCAAACUCAUUUUUUGUCACGGGCCACUUUGGAGUUAUGUCUUCCCCUGGAGGGCCAUUACGACAGUGAAACCGAGUAAAUGUUUCAUCAUGACAUCAUAUUAUUACUUGUACACGACAAAUCAAAUUGAUGGAUGACUAGUUUUGAAAUCAGUCGACACCGAAACAUCAAGUUGUCAUAUGUAAUAAAUAACGUUGAGAUUUUGCAAUAAUUUUGGGGGGGACGAUAGUUGAACAAACAACAACUGUUUCAAUUUCAAUUGUUUCAAUUUCUUGAAAAUUAUUGCAAAAUCUCAACGUUAUUUAUUACAUAUGACAACUUGAUGUUUCGGUCUGGAUUUGAGCAAGGAUCAUGGAAGUUGACACACGUAAUUUGUUUUCGAGGGCCACAUAAAAUGACGUGGCGGGCCGGAACUGGCCCCCGGGCCUUGUGUUUGACACGUCGCUCUAUGUAAAUAAAGAUUUUUAAAAAUGCCCUGAAAUUACACCAACUUGUGACAUCCUACAACAGGGGUGCCUAUUACGUCGAUCGCGAUCGACCGGUAGAUCGCGGACUGGUCCCAAGUUGAUCGCGAGGAGUGACGAGGAGGAAAAAAAACUUUUUUGUGUCUUGGUGCAUGUCGGUAAUAUAUUUUUUGUGUUAAUGUACACUACACCCAAACCAUCCUAUCAGUCUCAUUUUCACAAAAAGUAUUAAAAAAAAUAAAUUCAAAUUAAAUAAACAGCUAAAUCUUUAGCCUACGGUAGCGCGUGACCUGAGUCACCGGAAGUUGUUAGCGCUCAGCAGCUGCAAUUGCAGCUUGGGAUCAGAGCUCUAUAUCAUUUAUCGAUAUCAUUAUUCUCAUUCAGAUUUUCUUUCGUGUAUAAUUCACCGAGGGAACGGGCAAAGAAUAGGAAUCGAGAGGGCCAAGGGAAGCAUUUCUGUGAUGCGUAGAUCGCGAGAGGUUGGUUGAUUGAAAAGUGGAUCUUUGAUCAAAAAAGUUUGGGCACCCCUUUGACCUACAACAUUAUACAAAGAGCACACUCAUAGAUUCCACAGAAAAUGUUACUGGCCAACUUGCCUGUGAUUUGAAGGUUUUGUUACAUCUUCCAAAAAUAUUAUAUGGCUGAGAGCCGUCAUGUCCUGUUGACUUAUGGCAGCACCCUAUAUUGUAUUCUGAGAGCUACACUCACAACAUUCUGCUGUUUUGGUGACUAUGAGACGUAAAAAUAAAUGAGCAAGUUCAACAGCAUUCUCUAUUCAGGCUUGAGUGAUCUGGAAUGCCCUACUCAUAGAAAUUAAAGCAGCUACCUCCGUAGAAAUGUUUAUAUUCUCCACUUAAGACUUAUUUUUACACUCUGGCAUUUGGUAAAACCAAACCAGGUAAUUCAUCUCUUCCCCUGCCUCAACCUUUGAUAUCUGGAUUUUAGCCUGUUUUACUAUACCGAUAGCCAACUACAGCCAUAACCGCCCAACCACCUACCUGCCCACUCCGUGCUUUUGAUUAAGGGAUAUCUUCAGUGUAUGGAAAUUUAACUUGACUCAUAGCACUCAAUUUUAGGAGUUUGCAUGGCUAAAUUAAUGCAAUUAAUAUUCCAGGACUCUUGAAAAUGUAAAUGGAUGGCGGGCUGGGAACAAAAAAAAGGAAAGCACAUAAUUUUUUCUGUGGAGAUAAUAAAUUUGAAAUUCUACAUUACUUAUUACUUACUAAAAGUCCCUUCGCACGUUUAUUAUCUACCGCCAUGACCAAAUCUCACGUUCACGUCUUCAGCAGCUGUAAUAAGCACUGUUUGCGCUGCACAAAUCGUGGGUAACACACAAUGUCGCCCUGUGGAGCCGCCAAGGUCUGUCACACCAGGCAAGGGGGUGCUCUUCAAUGAAAGAAAAAUUGUUCAUGACUGACUUACUUUUAAGUAAGAAUUGAAAAACAACUGAGCGGUAAUCUUCAUUAUCAGGUAAACAAAAGCUACAUAGUAAGAAAGAGAAAUGUAUUGACUGCAUAAUUGCCUCAAGUUAUUUCACAGUAUUGUUUUUUUUUUACAUUGCCUUCCUGCCUGCUCUGCGCAAUCCCAGUACAAACAGCGCAUAUCUUCCGUCUUAAACAGUUUAGCACCGAGCCAAUAGAGCACGGGUCCCCAAACUGUUUCCUCCCAUUGUUGUCUUUGUCUAUGAUCUGUCAGCGAUAAGAGAGGCUGCCAAGUUGAAUAAAAGCAUCAAAUCUAUUUCAAUAUUUUCUUUCGGAGGUAUCUUGAAUCAAAUCAAGGUUGAUUAAUGACCAUGAAAAGAAGAGCUAAGAAGCUCUUGGCACAUCUUCGGGUUGCAAACAAUACAAUGUAACAAAGGCUCGUGAUUUUUGUUUUUUAUUAUGAAAAACAGUUUUUUUGGGGGGCCGUACAAAUCUCGACUUUUCAGCCCACUAGCUUUUCAAGACGGCGUGUUCUCUUCCCGCUGAGGUCAUUUCUUAUCUAACAGACCUUCACCGUGAGUCAUAAAAUUUGAUGGGGAGGAUUUAGCGCAGUCGUGAGACCAGACGGUGAUCCACAAGCACCGAUGGUGUUGACGUUUUGACGAGAAGGAAUUUGCUAUGGCCCGAUGAUGGCCUUAAAGUCAGCUUGUGAUGUCCGGUUAUGAAAUGAUGUUUUUAAGAGGACCGUAAACACACCAAAAGUUGCACAGGUAAAAACUAGACUGUUAAAGCCACCAAAAGUUGCCAAGGUACAAAUAAGGUUAAAAUAAGUUUAAAGCCACUUUAAAGCCAGUAAAAGUUGGGCAGGUGUAAAUAAGACUAUCGUAAAUCGACCAAAAGUUAAGACGACUGUAAAUUCCCCCAAAUGCGGUGUAGUCUGGCUUCCGCCCGAAGUCAGCUGGGAUUGGCGCCAGCAAUUUUACGCGACCCUGUUCAGGAUAAACGGUGUUGAAAAUGAAUGCAUGGAUGAAUAAGAAUAAGACAGCCCUAAACUCUCUAAAAGUUGCAUAUGUUGAAACAUUCAUUCAUCUUCCGUACCGCUUGAUCCUCACUAGGGUCGCGGGGGGUGCUGGAGCCCAUCCCAGCCGUCUCCGGGCAGUAGGCGGGGGACACCCUGAAUCGGUUGCCAGCCAAUCGCAGGGCACACAUAGACGAACAACCAUCCACACUCACACUCACACCUCGGGACAAUUUAGAGCGUCCAAUCAGCCUGCCACGCAUGUUUUUGGAAUGUGGAAGGAAACCGGAGCACCCGGAGAAAACCCACGCAGGCCCGGGGAGAACAUGCAAACUCCACACAGGGAGGCCGGAGCUGGAAUCGAACCCGGUACCUCUGCACUGUGAAGCCGACGUGCUAACCACUGGACUACCGGGCCGCCCUAUGUUGAAACAAGACUGCGUUAAAAGCUCGCAAAAGUAAACAAAACCGCCAUAAAUCCCAUUAAAAGUUGGCCAAGUUAAAAAAUAAGACAACUGUAAAUACAGUAAUCCCUCGCUAUUUCGCGGUUUGUUUAUCGCGGCUUCAGUGCAUCGCUGAUUUUUUCUAACAUAUUCAUAAUUUUUAUUAUUUUUAUACUUUAAAAAAAUAUAUAUACAUGGUGUACAGUACUGUACAUGUUGCUCUAUGUGACUCGCUGUUGUUUUGCAGUUUCUCGCGGACCGUUUGCGGACUUAAUUUUUUUUUUUUACCUGAAUAUGUUUGCUGGUCGUUAUUUCGCGGAUUUUCGUUUUUCGCGGGUGGUUUUGGUCCCCAUUAACUGCGGUAAACGAGGGAUUACUGUACCUCCAAAUUUGCACAGGUAAAACAGGUAAGACUACCUGAAAUCCCCUCAAAGUUACAGAGGUUUCAGUAAAACUACUGUAAAUCUGCUAAAAGUUGCACAGGCAACCAAAAGUGGUCAAAAUAAGACUGCCUGCCGUCAAUCCCCUCAACAAGUGAACCUCCCAAAGGUGUGCGGAUUCAAAUGAGAUGACUAUAAAUUUCUCAAAUGUUUCACAUUUAAAAUAAGGGUAAAAUGCUGCGUGAGGCAUCAAUUUGACAACUUCUCUGUAUGAAAGGGGUCUUUUGUGUCGAAUUAACAAAGCCGAAAAUGCCAGCAGUAAUUUGAAUAAUCAGUCCGGUCAAUAUGUCAACAAAUAACAUUAUUCCAAGACUACUUCAUUGAAAUCUGGAUAUAUUUUUGUAAGUAAUAAGGCGGGCACACUAAUUAACUGUGACCUUUCAUCAAAUGUCACACGUUUGGGGUGCUGUUGUCAGCAUGCUGCUGAGCUCCUCAGGGUAAUUAAGCUCCCCCCCCCCACACACACACACCUAAACGCACACACAUACACACACGGACGCACACUCGCGCACACGCAAGCAGGCACGGACAACAUUCGCAAACAAAGUGCACCCACAGUGCUGUCGCUUGCUUUAUGUCUUCAAAAACAUGUGGGAAGACAAAUUGAGUUAUUUUUGUAAAAACAAAGCGUUUUGUUCUGUUCUGCUUUUUACAUUUCUUUGCAAAUUUGGAUGAUAGUGCACAAUAGGUUUUACGACUCUUUUAGCGUCUGAGAGUCUGCAGUAAGUUGUUAGCAAACUCUGCAACAAACUGUGAAACAAAUAAAAAACAAAAAAAAAUGUAAGAGAUCAGUCAUGUGUUCUGGGGCGACAUAAUUUUUUUUGUGACUACUUUCUUUAUUAGUCAGGGCCUAGGAACCAUCUUAUGACAUUUCAUAAAGUACACUGAAAUGUUAGUCUUCCUGCAAUCAGAUGA